CGGGGCGUGGCCUAGAUGGAUAGGGCACCAGACUGGGGGUCUGGGGGUCGGCGGUUCGAGUCCGCCCGCCCCGACCA
rnacentral:tRNA from 1 species